UGGAUGUGCCCAGAUGGGAUUAGCUGUUGGUGGGGUAACGGCUCACCAGGCGACGAUCCCUAGCUGGUCUGAGAGGAUGACCAGCCACACUGGAACUGAGACACGGUCCAGACUCCUACGGGAGGCAGCAUG
rnacentral:rRNA from 1 species